UGAGCUUGAUCCUGGCUCAGGACGAACGCUGGCGGCGUGCCUAAUACAUGCAAGUCGAGCGCAGGAAGCCGGCGGAUCCCUUCGGGGUGAAGCCGGUGGAAUGAGCGGCGGACGGGUGAGUAACACGUGGGCAACCUACCUUGUAGACUGGGAUAACUCCGGGAAACCGGGGCUAAUACCGGAUGAUCAUUUGGAUCGCAUGAUCCGAAUGUAAAAGUGGGGAUUUAUCCUCACACUGCAAGAUGGGCCCGCGGCGCAUUAGCUAGUUGGUAAGGUAAUGGCUUACCAAGGCGACGAUGCGUAGCCGACCUGAGAGGGUGAUCGGCCACACUGGAACUGAGACACGGUCCAGACUCCUACGGGAGGCAGCAGUAGGGAAUCAUCCGCAAUGGGCGAAAGCCUGACGGUGCAACGCCGCGUGAACGAUGAAGGUUUUCGGAUCGUAAAGUUCUGUUAUGAGGGAAGAACAAGUGCCGUUCGAAUAGGUCGGCACCUUGACGGUACCUCACGAGAAGCCGA
rnacentral:rRNA from 1 species